UACGUAGGGGGCUAGCGUUGUCCGGAAUCAUUGGGCGUAAAGCGCGUGUAGGCGGUCCGGUAAGUCCGCUGUGAAAGUCGGGGGCUCAACCCUCGAAAGCCGGUGGAAACUGUCGGGCUAGAGUACGGAAGAGGCGAGUGGAAUUCCUGGUGUAGCGGUGAAAUGCGCAGAGAUCCGGAAGAACACCGGUGGCGAAGGCGGCCUGCUGGGCAGUAGCUGACGCUGAGGCGCGACAGCGUGGGGAGCAAACAGG
rnacentral:rRNA from 1 species